rnacentral:lncRNA from 1 species
GUAAAUACCAGCUUUUCAGUAGAAGGAACAUUUUAUUUUCUGAAAGCAAUGCCAUUCUAGUAAAACAAAAGGAAAUGAAAAAGAGUGUGUGUUGAUUUAUCAGUAGAAUGAUUAAGGUUUAAGGCCACAAAUGUUGAAUUUGAAUUUACCACAAUACAGUUUUUAAAUUUACUUAUUUAAUUAGUAUUAUUUUAUCAAAAGAAAAUAUGAAAAAGAAAAGGAAAAAAGAGAGAAACUUUAAAGGAAAUGGGAAGGGUUGGACCAGCAAAGGAUAUUGAAAGGGAAAGCAGUGGCGCACGUGCACGUGCAACCCCACAAUCCACAUGGGGACUU